UACGGAGGGAGCUAGCGUUGUUCGGAAUUACUGGGCGUAAAGCGCACGUAGGCGGAUCGAUCAGUCAGGGGUGAAAUCCCAGGGCUCAACCCUGGAACUGCCUUUGAUACUGUCGAUCUGGAGUAUGGAAGAGGUGAGUGGAAUUCCGAGUGUAGAGGUGAAAUUCGUAGAUAUUCGGAGGAACACCAGUGGCGAAGGCGGCUCACUGGUCCAUUACUGACGCUGAGGUGCGAAAGCGUGGGGAGCGAACAGG
rnacentral:rRNA from 1 species